rnacentral:rRNA from 1 species
UACGAGGGGUGCAAGCGUUGCUCGGAAUUAUUGGGCGUAAAGGGUAGGUAGGUGGUCUCAUUUGUCCGGGGUGAAAGCCUUGAGCUUAACUCAAGAAGUGCCUCGGAAACGGUGAGACUAGAGUCUUGGAGAGGGUCGUGGAAUUCCCGGUGUAGCGGUGAAAUGCGUAGAUAUCGGAAGGAACACCUGUGGCGAAAGCGGCUCACUGGACCAUAACUGACGCUGAGGCGCGAAAGCUAGGGGAGCAAACAGG